UACGGAGGGGGCUAGCGUUGUUCGGAAUCACUGGGCGUAAAGCGCACGUAGGCGGUGUAUCAAGUCAGAGGUGAAAGGCCUGGGCUCAACCUGGGAAUUGCCUUUGAUACUGGUACGCUUGAGGCCGGGAGAGGGUAGUGGAAUUCCCAGUGUAGAGGGGGAAUUCGUAGAUUUUGGGAAGAACACCGGUGGCGAAGGCGGCUACCUGGCGCGGUUACUGACGCUGAGGUGCGAAAGCGUGGGGAGCGAACAGG
rnacentral:misc_RNA from 1 species